UACGGAGGGGGCUAGCGUUGUUCGGAAUUACUGGGCGUAAAGCGCGCGUAGGCGGCUUUGUAAGUCAGGGGUGAAAUCCUGGAGCUCAACUCCAGAACUGCCUUUGAUACUGGGAAGCUUGAGUCCGGAAGAGGUGAGUGGAACUCCGAGUGUAGAGGUGAAAUUCGUAGAUAUUCGGAAGAACACCAGUGGCGAAGGCGGCUCACUGGUCCGGUACUGACGCUGAGGUGCGAAAGCGUGGGGAGCAAACAGG
rnacentral:rRNA from 1 species